ACGGGAGAGUAACACGUGGGAACGUGCCCUUUGGUUCGGAAUAACUCAGGGAAACUUGAGCUAAUACCGGAUAAGCCCUUCGGGGGAAAGAUUUAUUGCCAUUGGAGCGGCCCGCGUCGGAUUAGCUAGUUGGUGAGGUAAUGGCUCACCAAGGCGACGAUCCGUAGCUGGUCUGAGAGGAUGACCAGCCUCACUGGGACUGAGACACGGCCCAGACUCCUACGGGAGGCAGCAGUGGGGAAUAUUGGACAAUGGGCGCAAGCCUGAUCCAGCCAUGCCGCGUGGAUGAUGAAGGCCCUAGGGUUGUAAAGUCCUUUUAACGGGGAAGAUAAUGACGGUACCCGUAGAAUAAGCCCCGGCUGACUUCGUGCCAGCAGCCGCGGUAAUACGAAGGGGGCUAGCGUUGCUCGGAAUUACUGGGCGUAAAGCGCACGUAGGCGGACCGAUAAGUCGGGGGUGAAAUCCUGGAGCUCAACUCCAGAACUGCCUUCGAAACUGCCGGUCUUGAGUUCGGGAGAGGUGAGUGGAACUGCGAGUGUAGAGGUGAAAUUCGUAGA
rnacentral:rRNA from 1 species